rnacentral:rRNA from 1 species
UACGAAGGGGGCUAGCGUUGCUCGGAAUCACUGGGCGUAAAGGGUGCGUAGGCGGGGCUUUAAGUCAGGGGUGAAAUCCUGGAGCUCAACUCCAGAACUGCCUUUGAUACUGAAGAUCUUGAGUUCGGGAGAGGUGAGUGGAACUGCGAGUGUAGAGGUGAAAUUCGUAGAUAUUCGCAAGAACACCAGUGGCGAAGGCGGCUAACUGGCCCGAUACUGACGCUGAGGCACGAAAGCGUGGGGAGCAAACAGG